rfam:Brachypodium distachyon strain Bd21 chromosome 1, whole genome shotgun sequence.
GAUGUACUCCCUCCGUCCCAUAUUAAAUGUAUCAAAUUUGUUUAAAUAUGAAUGUAUCUACACUUAAAAGACGUCUAGAUACAUGUAUUAUUUCGACAUUUAAUAUGGGACGGAGAGAGCAAGUG